rnacentral:rRNA from 1 species
CAGGAUGAACGCUGGCGGGCGUGCUUAACACAUGCAAGUCGAGCGAAGCGCUUAAGUUUGAUCUUCGGAUGAAGACUUUUGUGACUGAGCGGCGGACGGGUGAGUAACGCGUGGGUAACCUGCCUCAUACAGGGGGAUAACAGUUAGAAAUGGCUGAUAAUACCGCAUAAGACCACAGUACUGCAUGGUACAGUGGUAAAAACUCCGGUGGUAUGAGAUGGACCCGCGUCUGAUUAGGUAGUUGGUGAGGUAACGGCCCACCAAGCCGACGAUCAGUAGCCGACCUGAGAGGGUGACCGGCCACAUUGGGACUGAGACACGGCCCAGACUCCUACGGGAGGCAGCAGUGGGGAAUAUUGCACAAUGGGCGAAAGCCUGAUGCAGCGACGCCGCGUGAAGGAUGAAGUAUUUCGGUAUGUAA